AGUGAACGCUGGCGGUAGGCCUAACACAUGCAAGUCGAACGGCAGCACAGGAGAGCUUGCUCUCUGGGUGGCGAGUGGCGGACGGGUGAGGAAUACAUCGGAAUCUACCUUUUCGUGGGGAAUAACGUAGGGAAACUUACGCUAAUACCGCAUACGACCUACGGGUGAAAGUGGGGGACCGCAAGGCCUCACGCGAUUAGAUGAGCCGAUGUCCGAUUAGCUAGUUGGCGGGGUAAUGGCCCACCAAGGCGACGAUCGGUAGCUGGUCUGAGAGGAUGAUCAGCCACACUGGAACUGAGACACGGUCCAGACUCCUACGGGAGGCAGCAGUGGGGAAUAUUGGACAAUGGGCGCAAGCCUGAUCCAGCCAUACCGCGUGGGUGAAGAAGGCCUUCGGGUUGUAAAGCCCUUUUGUUGGGAAGGAAAUCCUGUCGAUUAAUACUCGGUGGGGAUGACGGUACCCAAAGAAUAAGCACCGGCUAACUUCGUGCCAGCAGCCGCAGUAAUAC
rnacentral:rRNA from 1 species